UACGUAGGGUGCGAGCGUUUUUCGGAAUCACUGGGCGUAAAGCGCGCGUAGGCGGGUUUGUAAGUCGAUUGUGAAAGCCCUGGGCUUAACCCGGGAAUUGCAGUCGAAACUGUGAAUCUUGAAUGUUUGAGAGGAUGGUGGAAUUCCAGGUGUAGAAGUGAAAUUCGUAGAUAUCUGGAGGAACAUCGGAGGCGAAGGCGGCCAUCUGGCAAAACAUUGACGCUGAAGUGCGAAAGCGCGGGGAUCAAACAGG
rnacentral:rRNA from 1 species